AUAAAAAUAUGUUUUAGAAGUCAUUAAUGGAAAUUUUUGAAAAAAAUCAAUUCAAAAUUCCAAAGAUUAAGUUUCCUAUGAAGCCUGCUAUCAGUUUAGGAAAAUCACCAAUGGCCACUGCAGCAAUGGCAGGUGCAGCAGGUGCAGCUGUUGUGAUGUAUUAUACAGGUAGUUAUUAAGUUAGCUUACAUCACCAAAACCAUCUCCAUUUACACAAUAAUAUAAAAGAAUUUAAUCUUCUACCAACUAUAAAUAUUUGACAUUCAAAAUAGUAUUUGGGCGAAUACUGUAAACAAAAACUUGCUCACAGCACAAAUGUUUCAAUUAAAGCAAAAUUCAUAACAAUAAUAUCACUGAUAUUUACAACUGUGUUGUUAUUUAAUGAUAUACAUAUUAAAAAAAUGGAAUUCCUAUUUUUUUUUGUGUUAUAUAUAUAUAUAUAUAUAUAUAUAUAUAGAAUGUAUACAUAUUGUGAAUGUAUUUGAGAAUCUUUUAAAUUCUAAUUGUAUGAUUGGUAUCCUUUAAAUAUUUGACAAUGAGGUCAAGAAAACAAUGAAUAGGUUGGGACAUACCUUGGGGAGUUUUCAAAGCACAAAGCUAUAAUGCAUUGGGUGAAGAAGACACAUCCGAUGAAGGGGAAGGUGAUCUCUUUGUUGGAGGGAUUGCACGCAAAAUUGGCAAACGGCGUGUUGUGGUUCCUAUUAUUGCACGAGCUCCAUCAACAUGGUUCGAGUCUUUAUCCACAAUAUCGGAGACAUUGCGGUUCACAUAUUCUGAAACACUUGGAAAAUGGCCCAUCGGGGACCUUGCAUUUGGAAUCAAUUACCUUUUGAAACAUCAGGUAAAGUUGAUCACCACCCCAUUAAUAGAUAAAAAUAUUUAAACCCUAAAAAACUUCAAACAUAAACAUUACUUUAAUGUAGUAAAAAUUUCAUAAAAUAUUCAAUGUGACAUGCAUGAUAUCUAUGCAUUACAUUUCUGGUAUUACUGAUUAAUAUUAUUUUUUCUACAACAAACAACACAAUAAGGUUUAAAAAUGUUUAUAGAAUAUUUAUAGCAAUAAAAAAUGACAAAAGCAGUUGGUUUGGUUUUUGCAAAUAGAGUCAUGAGCAUGUUGCAAAAGCCUUUGCAAUUGAUGGAUCCAAACAAAUAGAUGGACUCAACAUGUUAAGUGAGUUACGGGAAUAUUUGAGGGUGUUGAUUAUGUGUAUGCAUUUCUCCAAGAAGCCAUUUCCCUUAUUUUUGGAAGCUAUUGGUUUCAAUGUGGACCAAGUUUUGCUUGAGGAAGGAAAAGCUGGAGUAAGGAACUUGCUAUUGUAUGUCAAAUUUCUGAUUCUUGAACUUUAUUUUUUUACUUAAAUAUGUUUUUCAUUUCAACAAAAUUAUAAUAUUUGUUUGGAUCCAUCAAGAAAAAUGAUAAUUUAUGUAUGCCUUAUAUAGAAAAAUAAAAAAAUCAACACAUAUGUAUGUAUGUAUAUAUAUAUAUAUAUAUAUAUAUAGAUUGUAAAACCUUUUCUUAAGACAUAAAUGUCUAUGAUC
rnacentral:lncRNA from 1 species